UCGGGCGGUAACAGGGAGUGCUUGCACUUCGCUGACGAGCGGCGGACGGGUGAGUAAUGCAUAGGAAUCUGCCUGGUAGUGGGGGAUAGCCCAGAGAAAUUUGGAUUAAUACCGCAUACGCCCUACGGGGAAAGCAGGGGGGAUCUUCGGACCUUGCGCUAUCAGAUGAGCCUAUGUCGGAUUAGCUUGUUGGUGAGGUAACGGCUCACCAAGGCGACGAUCCGUAGCUGGUCUGAGAGGAUGAUCAGCCACACUGGGACUGAGACACGGCCCAGACUCCUACGGGAGGCAGCAGUGGGGAAUAUUGGACAAUGGGCGCAAGCCUGAUCCAGCCAUGCCGCGUGUGUGAAGAAGGCCUUCGGGUUGUAAAGCACUUUCAGCGAGGAGGAAAGGGGUGUUGCUAAUAUCAACGCCCUGCGACGUUACUCGCAGAAGAAGCACCGGCUAACUCCGUG
rnacentral:rRNA from 1 species